GUUGCGAACGGGUGAGUAACGCGUAGGUAACCUGCCUUGUAGCGGGGGAUAACUAUUGGAAACGAUAGCUAAUACCGCAUAACAAUGGAUGACACAUGUCAUUUAUUUGAAAGGGGCAAUUGCUCCACUACAAGAUGGACCUGCGUUGUAUUAGCUAGUAGGUGAGGUAAUGGCUCACCUAGGCGACGAUACAUAGCCGACCUGAGAGGGUGAUCGGCCACACUGGGACUGAGACACGGCCCAGACUCCUACGGGAGGCAGCAGUAGGGAAUCUUCGGCAAUGGGGGCAACCCUGACCGAGCAACGCCGCGUGAGUGAAGAAGGUUUUCGGAUCGUAAAGCUCUGUUGUAAGUCAAGAACGGGUGUGAGAGUGGAAAGUUCACACUGUGACGGUAGCUUACCAGAAAGGGACGGCUAACUACGUGCCAGCAGCCGCGGUAAUACGUAGGUCCCGAGCGUUGUCCGGAUUUAUUGGGCGUAAAGCGAGCGCAGGCGGUUUGAUAAGUCUGAAGUUAAAGGCUGUGGCUCAACCAUAGUUCGCUUUGGAAACUGUCAAACUUGAGUGCAGAAGGGGAGAGUGGAAUUCCAUGUGUAGCGGUGAAAUGCGUAGAUAUAUGGAGGAACACCGGUGGCGAAAGCGGCUCUCUGGUCUGUAACUGACGCUGAGGCUCGAAAGCGUGGGGAGCGAACAGGAUUAGAUACCCUGGUAGUCCACGCCGUAAACGAUGAGUGCUAGGUGUUGGAUCCUUUCCGGGAUUCAGUGCCGCAGCUAACGCAUUAAGCACUCCGCCUGGGGAGUACGACCGCAAGGUUGAAACUCAAAGGAAUUGACGGGGGCCCGCACAAGCGGUGGAGCAUGUGGUUUAAUUCGAAGCAACGCGAAGAACCUUACCAGGUCUUGACAUCCCGAUGCUAUUUCUAGAGAUAGAAAGUUACUUCGGUACAUCGGUGACAGGUGGUGCAUGGUUGUCGUCAGCUCGUGUCGUGAGAUGUUGGGUUAAGUCCCGCAACGAGCGCAACCCCUAUUGUUAGUUGCCAUCAUUCAGUUGGGCACUCUAGCGAGACUGCCGGUAAUAAACCGGAGGAAGGUGGGGAUGACGUCAAAUCAUCAUGCCCCUUAUGACCUGGGCUACACACGUGCUACAAUGGUUGGUACAACGAGUUGCGAGUCGGUGACGGCGAGCUAAUCUCUUAAAGCCAAUCUCAGUUCGGAUUGUAGGCUGCAACUCGCCUACAUGAAGUCGGAAUCGCUAGUAAUCGCGGAUCAGCACGCCGCGGUGAAUACGUUCCCGGGCCUUGUACACACCGCCCGUCACACCACGAG
rnacentral:rRNA from 1 species